rnacentral:rRNA from 1 species
GCGGGCCCUCGUGGCCCAACCUCCCACCCUUGUCUCUCUACACCUGUUGCUUUGGCGGGCCCACUGGGGCUCCCUGGUCGCCGGGGGACGCCUGUCCCCGGGCCCGCGCCCGCCGAAGCGCUUCGUGAACCCUGAUGAAGAAGGGCUGUCUGAGUACUAUGAAAAUUGUCAAAACUUUCAACAAUGGAUCUCUUGGUUCCGGCAUCGAUGAAGAACGCAGCGAAAUGCGAUAAGUAAUGUGAAUUGCAGAAUUCCGUGAAUCAUCGAAUCUUUGAACGCACAUUGCGCCCCCUGGCAUUCCGGGGGGCAUGCCUGUCCGAGCGUCAUUUCUGCCCUCAAGCACGGCUUGUGUGUUGGGUGUGGUCCCCCCGGGGACCUGCCCGAAAGGCAGCGGCGACGUCCGUCUGGUCCUCGAGCGUAUGGGGCUCUGUCACUCGCUCGGGAGGGACCUGCGGGGGUUGGUCACCACCACAUUUUCUAUUAUGGUUGACCUCGGAUCAGGUAGGAGUUACCCGCUGAACUUAAGCA